rnacentral:rRNA from 1 species
GCUUCGGCUUUCAGUAGGUGACCUAGCGGAGGAUACAUUAUUGAAAUAAACCUGAUGAGUUGCUGCUGGCUCUCUAGAGAGCAUGUGCACACUUGUCGUCUUUAUAUCUCCACCUGUGCACCUAUUGUAGACCUGGAUGACUCUCUGAAUGCCUAUCAUUCAGGUAUGAGGAUUGACUUUCUGCCUCUCCUUACAUUUCCAGGCCUAUGUUCUUUCAUAUAACCUCAAUGUAUGUUAUGGAAUGUAAUAAUUAUGGCCUUCUGUGCCUUAUAAACCUAUACAACUUUCAGCAACGGAUCUCUUGGCUCUCGCAUCGAUGAAGAACGCAGCGAAAUGCGAUAAGUAAUGUGAAUUGCAGAAUUCAGUGAAUCAUCGAAUCUUUGAACGCACCUUGCACUCCUUGGUAUUCCGAGGAGUAUGCCUGUUUGAGUGUCAUUAAUAUAUCAACCUCUCAAGCUUUUGCUUGUUGAGUGUAUGGAUGUGGGGGGUUUAUUUUGCUGGUCUUUUUAUGAGGUCAGCUCCCCUGAAAUGCAUCAGCGGAACAAUUUGUUGACCGUUCAUUGGUGUGAUAACUAUCUACGCUAUUGACGUGAAGCAGUUCAGCUUAUAACAGUCCAUUGACUUGGACAACAUAUUUAUUAAUGUGACCUCAAAUCAGGUAGGACUACCCGCUGAACUUAAGCAUAUCAAAAGCCGGAGAAA